rnacentral:lncRNA from 1 species
AGGACUUAUGAACAGAAGAUAUUCAAGAAUUUAAAAGAACCAUCCAGGAGGGCUGAAACUACAUUCUACCCAUCUCCUGAGAAUAGUUCUGCAAAGUGCAAAUAAAAUGACACAUCUCAAUGAAGGUAUUCAGCGAUAAGCAAAUGUUCACAAAAUAUCUUCUUUUCUGUUAUUGCUGUCCUUGUAUUACCAUCUGCAGGUAAGAAAUUCUUCAUUCUGCAGUGUGAUCUUGUAAAGUGCUUCAUCUCACUUUGGCAAUACAAAUGAGGACUUUUUAGAGAUGAUUGCUCAGAUGCUAUGUUACACUAUUUGUUUCCUUGAUUUUGGCAUUAAGUAGGAUGAAUAAAUAACUAGUUUUUCAGUCACUCCUUCCUUUUGCAACCAGUCAUCUGGCAUGCCACAUUUUCAACUUACCACAUUUUAUUCUGCAAAUACCUUUAUGAUCCAAUAGCUAUUUAAUAUUCACGCAUGACUGCUAAUGGCCAGACUCAAGACUUGGAGUUGAGCUCCAAUCCUGUUACUAAGUAUUUGACAGUUAGUGAUCCUCAGCGAGCACUCUUUUUGUCUAUAAAAUCAGUGUCUUAAAUAACUCUAAGGUUCAUUUUAGUUUGAAAAUGAUCUAAUUUGAUAGAUUCAUCACCAGUUAAAGAUACUGUACAGUUAGUGGUCACUAAUUAUUUGGAAUCUAACUUUCACUCACUCAAAAUUUUUAUUUUCUGUCAAUGUAAUUGAGACUAAUGUCUCAUUUGGAUAACAACAUUUUAUAAUUUUAUCUAUAGAUUUAUAAUAGCAAUGUAAUAUAACAGUAUGUAAUAUGUUAUAUAUUUAGUAUAUAUGUAUAAAUAUAUAUGUAAGAGAUUGAUUUAUAUUCAUUCUUAUAUUUUUAUGUAAACAUGCUUUUUGCUUCUGCAGUAUAUAUAAAAUUCUGAAUUAUUAAUUUAUUGAAUUAGUAUGAAGGACAAAUUGAAGAGAGGUGUAAUCAUUCACUGUAGGAAAAAUGUACUUUAAACAUAUUUCUGAAAGGGCACUGAAUUAUUUGUCCACACAUCAUAGCUUUUUAAUAUUAAAGCCUAAAGGGAAGAGGAUCCCCCAAGAAAAUUUAACUUUGAGGUGUUGGGCAUCAUUUUCCAUGAAGUCUAACUAGAUUUAAAGGAGGAAGUGAUGAUUUAGAGUCCUUUCUUUAAUCACACAAAGGAUUAUUAUACAGAAGAAGAAUCUGUUUAUUCUGUGCUGUUCUAGAGGAGAGAAGGGGGCCCACUGCUGUUUUUUCUUUUGUCCAACAAAUAUUUAUUGAGUGCCUUCUCUGAGUAGGGUGUUGUAGAUGAAAACCAUACCCUGCUUUCUAGAGUGUUCACUGUACCUGAAAGGCAGGGUAUGGUGGUUUUCCUUAAAACAGGAAGAAGAAUGAAGGACAGUUUUUGUAUCCAGGUAGGUUAUAAGCUUCCAUCAUAGGAAAUAUUUUGCAAGAGAAUGAAUUCAACUUGGUUAAGAAUAUUAUAGGAGGGAAUUCUGGCCUGGAAGAGAGACUAGGUUUGUUUUUCUUUGUUUUUUGGUUUUUUGUUUGUUUGUUUGUUUUUCUUUUCAUGGCUGCACCUGCACACAUUUGGCAUGUGGAAGUUCCCAGACUAGGGGUCUCAUGGGAGCUGCAGCUGAGGCCUAUGGCAACAGCAGAUCUAAGCUGCAUGUAGGAGCUACACCAAAGCUUGUGGCAAACUGGAUCUUUAACCCAUUGAACGAGGCCAGAGACUGAAUGCACGUCCUCAGCGAGACAAUGUUGGAUUCUUAAUUCACUGAGCCAUAAGGGGAACUCUGGGAGUAUUUCUUUAUUGAGACAGCUCCAUCUGAUUUGGUAAAGCUCCUUAGGGAAUACAAGUCAUUUAAUUUGAUUUGACUUUCAAUUCAAAGUAUGCAUUUUCCCUGAAUACUCCAGGUAGGCAUUUGUUAAGAUGUUAUCUACCCUUUCCCCUGAAUUAACCCUUAAAAAAAAAAUCGCAGUUGGUUUGUGAAAGAAGGUAAAAGCAAUCUCAACUAUAGAAUGCCACUCUAUGGUCUCUUUGGCCUGUAGUAAGAAUCAAUUAAGAAUAUGAGAACAGGAAUUCCUGUGUGGCCCAGAGAGUUAAGUAUCUGGUGUUGUUGCCACAGUAGCUUGGAUUGUGACUAUGGUGUGGUUUGACCCCUGGCCUGGGAACUUCUGUAUGAUGUGGGUGUGGCCAAAAAAAAAAAAAA